GCGGUAGUUCAGUUGGUUAGAAUACCGGCCUGUCACGCCGGGGGUCGCGGGUUCGAGCCCCGUCCGCUGCG
rnacentral:tRNA from 1 species